ACGCCGACAUUGUGAAACGCCAACGCGAGUAUUCUACUUCGGUAGAAGACGAGCAAGGCACUGCUUGGGUGGAAUUCGUUCCACCCAACUUUUAAACUUUUACCAUUUUAUCUGAAAACUUGAAAAUUUAAAACUUUCAACAACGGAUCUCUUGGUUCUCACAUCGAUGAAGAACGCAGCAAAGCGCGAUAGGUAAUGCGAAUUGCAGACGUGAGUCAUUGAAUCUUUGAACGCAUAUUGCGCUACUAGGUUCUCCUAGUAGCAUGCUUGUUGGAGCGCCGAACUUUCUCUCUAACCAUUUCUUUAUUGAAAUGGUUACGAGGUGUUGCCCCUUAUUGGAGUCAAAGAAAUGGAACAGCACACGUUAAUAACUCUGUGCAGUAUUAUUUUUUAUGGCCCCCAAUCAAGCAAGAU
rnacentral:misc_RNA from 1 species